rnacentral:lncRNA from 7 species
AAUCUCCAUGAUAUAAGUGAGCAUAAGCUCUUCUCCUGCCUAACAACAGUGCUUCAGCCAUUGCUAUGCUUCUCGUACUCGUCUGGAUAUCUCCGAGUUUGGCAUUAUUCUUCCACCUCUAUGGUUCCAGCCCUCUCUUAUUUACUCUUUACUUUCCCUCUUCCUACAACCUUUCCUGGUCCCAUCCCUGACGAGUGAUCUGUGCUUCCCUCUGGAAACAAGCUCCACUCCUUCCUGCAGGAGUCUCUGAGGAGAGAAGCGGCCAUGCAGGGAGCUGAGGAAAGGGCUUUAACAUGCAGGCCCAGGACACUGGCCAAGGCAGCAGCUUCCAGUGAGGUCCAUCAGAAUUCUGAAUAGUCCCAGGUCUCUACAUACCAGACUCAAAGGCACGGCUUAUUUUUGUACCAGCUGACAUUGAUGUGCCAGCCAUUGAAGCAAGCCACAGAAACCAAAGGUUACUUUGGCAAAGCCUCAUUCACAGUAAAGGGAGCUGGAGAUCCGUCUCAAAGAAAUGAUCUUCAUAAGCUGGUCCGAAUAUCAAGGCAGUUCUGGACUUAGAAGUUGCGUGGAAUAGGGUUGUUCAGCUCACUUUGUGAACUUGUGUUCCUUCUUUAAGAUUUUGUGACGUCAAAGCUUGUUGGUAAGUAUUUUAUGCCAAUAGAGCAGCAAUAAUUCAGUUCUGCUGGACCUGGCCACUAAGGCUUUGAAGAAUGGCAGUACUGAAAGCAAUACUCAGUAUCAGAAGAAUAGAUGUGAUGCUGUAUGGUACACGUGCAUUCUGGGAGCUCUUCCUUCAGUCAUCAGAUGACUGCUUUUGGUGACAAGUUUCAAUCAGGUUACUGUACUGGUUAUCAUCCUCACCUGGCUGCAGUCACUCUACC